UCUCUCUCUCUCUCUCUCUCGUCCUCUCCUCAUCAAAACUCUCGCUCACUCUCUUCCUCUUAAAUCUCCCACCCUCUCAAAAUCAAAAUCAAAAAUUCACAAACAUAACACAAAUACAUUAUGAAUGAAUUCAAAUAUCAAACUACAAAAAAAACAUCAUCAACAUUAACCAUACAUAUCCAAAUACAAAAUGAAAAGAUUACCGAAACAAGGCGGGUGCGAC
rnacentral:lncRNA from 1 species